rnacentral:lncRNA from 1 species
CUCCCGCCAGUGCUCCGGGCUCGCGGUCUGGAGGAAGUCGCACGGUCGCCCUCAGCCCUUUCGCUGUGUUCCACUGGGGAAGCCGCCAUGACUGAGCGGAAAACGUUAGUUUCCGGACGCCAAGACUUGCGCGCUCCGGCCGCGCGCUUUUCUACCUAGGAAUUGGUGACGAGGGCCGAGGGCUGCCGUGCUGGGGGAGGGUGCUCAGAGGCUGGGGUGCCGGGGUUCCCCUCCCUUGCAGCUCCAGGCUUCGCGCAGUCCCGGGCCAGUCGAAAGGGACAGCAGAGGGCGAGAUCCUUUUCCCAUCCCUUUCAGUGGAAACCGAUUACACGGGGAAGCCUUCUCGCUGUGCGGUGAGUGGAUAGCUGGGCGCGCAGUGUGGCAGUGGCGGCGAAGAUUGGCGCUAUCAGGAGGAGCAAAAGGGAAGGAUCUGCUGCUGGGGGCUCCCUGGGUGACCCUUUGCUAGGCGAAAAGAACCCGUCGAGAGAGAAGCGCUUGGCAGGAGCUCUCUGCGGGACAUAAGCUCCCUGGCUGCUCGGGAUCCCUACGUCCGCUGCUGCGGAAGGAACACAGGGGAGGACGCAAGCGGUUGCUUACUGGAGCCUGGAGGUAAGCAAGGGGGUGGGAUCCUGAUUCUCAGCCCAGAUUCCAAAAGGGUGUCUGAUUUCAUGGAAACAUUCUUCUCACCCUCAUUUAUCAUCGCACACCCCACCCCCGCUUUUCAGAUCCAGGUUCAGGAAUAACCAAAUCCUUGGCACCCUCACAAGGUGGAAGUACCUUUCACAGCUCAUCGCCUGAAUGCCUUGCUCCUUACAUAUAUAUGUUUGUGUUGGGGGAAUGUGAGCUUCUCAGGGAAGUUG